rnacentral:snoRNA from 1 species
AAGAUCAUACUUUAUAGGAUCAAUUCUAUAGUGAGAUUGCCGGGUUUCUCGCCAAGAUUCUCGGAAUAUAUUCAACCACGAUGAGGACUUUGAGUGUGAGCCUCUGAGCGGAAGCGGUUCUUACGUUCUUCGUGAGAGCAUUGAUGACCGUUCUGGCUCGGUUCACGUGUCCAGAGGAGGCCCACACAGGCUGAGUGGU